rnacentral:tRNA from 1 species
GGUCAGGUAGUCAAGUGGCCAACGACGGCAGACUGUAAAUCUGCUCCCUAUGGGUUCGGUGGUUCGAAUCCACCCCUGACCA